CACGUAGGGCGCAAGCGUUGUCCGGAAUUAUUGGGCGUAAAGAGCUCGUAGGCGGUGUGUCACGUCGUUCGUGAAAACCUGCAGCUUAACUGUGGGCGUGCGGUCGAUACGGGCAUCACUGGAGUUCGGCAGGGGAGACUGGAAUUCCUGGUGUAGCGGUGAAAUGCGCAGAUAUCAGGAGGAACACCGGUGGCGAAGGCGGGUCUCUGGGCCGAUACUGACACUGAGGAGCGAAAGCGUGGGGAGCGAACAGG
rnacentral:rRNA from 1 species